UCAGACUUUGUUGGUAUGUCCAUAAUUAUUUCUUUCUCCAAAUAUUUGUGAAAAAGAAUUCCUGAUUCGUAAAACGAUCAUAUAGUAUAUCCAGUUCAUGGUUUCGACAUCUAGAACCCUUUUAUCUUUUUAUCCAAGAGCAUAGCUUGGGUGGUUAUGAUCCUGAAAAUUAAGAGCAUAUUUUGCAUUGUACCCGGAUUGCGUUUAGGACGGAGGGAGUAAACGUGGAUGACUUACAGAGUGAAAGUGCAUAAGCAACACUGAUUGAAAAAAGGACUUUGUAUGCGUGCAGCCUGCUACAGCAAAUGCAUUGAAAUUGUUUCUGAAUUGAACAUCAAAUUGGUUUCCGUAGUUGGCUUCAUUGCUGAUAAGAUUUGGUGCCUUUCAACUUUCCUUCUUGUGUAUAUUUCUACAUUUGUAAACCAUUGUAUUGUUGAGUUGACCUUUGCUGCCUGUUACCUUU